rnacentral:tRNA from 1 species
GGUUUUAUAGUCAAAUUAUGAUAUUAGACUGCAAUUCUAGAGUUGUUAUUUUUAGCUAAAACCU